rnacentral:rRNA from 1 species
UACGAAGGGGGCUAGCGUUGCUCGGAAUCACUGGGCGUAAAGGGUGCGUAGGCGGGUCUUUAAGUCAGGGGUGAAAUCCUGGAGCUCAACUCCAGAACUGCCUUUGAUACUGAAGAUCUUGAGUUCGGGAGAGGUGAGUGGAACUGCGAGUGUAGAGGUGAAAUUCGUAGAUAUUCGCAAGAACACCAGUGGCGAAGGCGGCUCACUGGCCCGACAUUGACGCUGAGGCGCGAAAGCCAGGGGAGCAAAGCGGGAU